AUUGAACGCUGGCGGCAUGCCUUACACAUGCAAGUCGAACGGCAGCAUGAUCUAGCUUGCUAGAUUGAUGGCGAGUGGCGAACGGGUGAGUCAUACAUCGGAACGUGCCCUGUAGUGGGGGAUAACUAGUCGAAAGAUUAGCUAAUACCGCAUACGACCUGAGGGUGAAAGUGGGGGACCGCAAGGCCUCAUGCUAUAGGAGCGGCCGAUGUCUGAUUAGCUAGUUGGUGAGGUAAAGGCUCACCAAGGCGACGAUCAGUAGCUGGUCUGAGAGGACGAUCAGCCACACUGGGACUGAGACACGGCCCAGACUCCUACGGGAGGCAGCAGUGGGGAAUUUUGGACAAUGGGCGAAAGCCUGAUCCAGCAAUGCCGCGUGUGUGAAGAAGGCCUUCGGGUUGUAAAGCACUGUUGUCCGGAAAGAAAUGGCUCUGGUUAAUACCUGGGGUCGAUGACGGUACCGGAAGAAUAAGGACCGGCUAACUACGUG
rnacentral:rRNA from 1 species